GCCAAUGCAUGCUUUUACAGUAUGGAAAUUGGUGAUUUAUAAUAACUUGGCAAAUCGCAAAGUGAAAACAGGCGAUAAAUCAUUCAAGUUUCUGACCUAUCAGCUUUCGACGGUAUGGUAUUGGCUUACCGUGGCAGUGACGGUUAACGGGGGAUUAGGGUUCGAUUCCGGAGAGGGAGCCUGAGAAACGGCUACCACAUCUAAGGAAGGCAGCAGGCGCGCAAAUUACCCAAUUCUAACAGUUUGAGAGAGGUAGUAACAAGAAAUAACAAUACAAGGCAAUUAAAAUGCUUUGUAAUUGGAAUGAUAGAAAUUUAAACCCUUUUUAAAGUAUCAAUUGGAGGGCAAGUCUGGUGCCAGCAGCCGCGGUAAUUCCAGCUCCAAUAGCGUAUAUUAAAAUUGUUGCAGUUAAAAAGCUCGUAGUUGAAGUUCUGCUAAAAGUAACCGGUCUGCUUUUAAUAAAAGUGGUAUCUUGGUGUGUAUUUAGCAAUGAUGUCCUUUGAAGUGUUUUUUACUUUAUUGUAAUAAAGCAUAUUCAGGACUUUUACUUUGAGAAAAUUAGAGUGUUUCUAGCAGGCCGACGCUUUGAAUACUGCA
rnacentral:rRNA from 1 species